UCAACUGGAUGUACAGAAUGGAUGCCAUUAUCAGCUUGCUCCUCCCUGGAAUGAAGCUACCAAAAUGAGUCUUCCCUUUGAGAACGACCCUGUCCCUGGAAGAGGUUCAAUACCAGCCAACAUUCCUUCAAAAGACAUCUACUGACUGCUUGCUAUGCGAUCACUACUGUGCUAAUUAUUGGAAAAUCAAAGACAAAAGAAGCCUUGUGUCUAGAAGAGAGGGACAAGAACACAAAAAUCAUGUGCAUGGGCAAAUGUCCAAGCCAUGAUCAUGCCACCAUCAAGGGGAUUCAGGGAGUGUUCACCCACUAGAGGGUGGUCGCAGAUGUGAUGGGAACAAAUGCUGCCUUCGCUGUCCUGUUGCAAGAGC
rnacentral:lncRNA from 1 species